UACGUAGGGGGCAAGCGUUGUCCGGAUUUACUGGGUGUAAAGGGAGCGUAGACGGCAUGGCAAGUCAGAUGUGAAAGCCCGGGGCUCAACCCCGGGACUGCAUUUGAAACUGUCAGGCUGGAGUGCAGGAGAGGUAAGCGGAAUUCCUAGUGUAGCGGUGAAAUGCGUAGAUAUUAGGAGGAACACCAGUGGCGAAGGCGGCUUACUGGACUGUAACUGACGUUGAGGCUCGAAAGCGUGGGGAGCAAACAGG
rnacentral:rRNA from 1 species